rnacentral:rRNA from 1 species
CUUGCUUCUCUUGAGAGCGGCGGACGGGUGAGUAAUGCCUAGGAAUCUGCCUGGUAGUGGGGGAUAACGUUCGGAAACGGACGCUAAUACCGCAUACGUCCUACGGGAGAAAGCAGGGGACCUUCGGGCCUUGCGCUAUCAGAUGAGCCUAGGUCGGAUUAGCUAGUUGGUGGGGUAAUGGCUCACCAAGGCGACGAUCCGUAACUGGUCUGAGAGGAUGAUCAGUCACACUGGAACUGAGACACGGUCCAGACUCCUACGGGAGGCAGCAGUGGGGAAUAUUGGACAAUGGGCGAAAGCCUGAUCCAGCCAUGCCGCGUGUGUGAAGAAGGUCUUCGGAUUGUAAAGCACUUUAAGUUGGGAGGAAGGGUUGUAGAUUAAUACUCUGCAAUUUUGACGUUACCGACAGAAUAAGCACCGGCUAACUCUGUGCCAGCAGCCGCGGUAAUACAGAGGGUGCAAGCGUUAAUCGGAAUUACUGGGCGUAAAGCGCGCGUAGGUGGUUUGUUAAGUUGGAUGUGAAAUCCCCGGGCUCAACCUGGGAACUGCAUUCAAAACUGACUGACUAGAGUAUGGUAGAGGGUGGUGGAAUUUCCUG